CUGGAAUGAUGCAACUUAGCCAAAUCAGACAUGGAUGUGCUCCGUGGGAUUGUUUCUAAGUAGCUUGUGCCAGCAUCUGUUGGAUGCAGUUGUGCAAGUCACAGUUCACAUCCUUUGUUGAAGUGCAUCUCUCUGAUGAUAAAACAGAGAAUGGUUGCUAGCUGACCAGA